GGCUCGGAUUGAACGCUGGCGGCGUGCUUAACACAUGCAAGUCGAACGCGAACGGGGCUUCGGCCCCAAGUAGAGUGGCGCACGGGUGAGUAACGCGUGGACAAUCUGCCCUAUGACUGGAAUAACAGUUGGAAACGGCUGCUAAUACCGGAUACGCUCAGGAAGAACUUUUUGAGGAAAGGCGGCCUCUGCUUGCAAGCUGUCGCAUAAGGAUGAGUCCGCGUCCCAUUAGCUAGUUGGCGGGUAACGGCCCACCAAGGCAACGAUGGGUAGCCGAUUUGAGAGGAUGAUCGGCCACACUGGGACUGAAACACGGCCCAGACUCCUACGGGAGGCAGCAGUGGGGAAUAUUGCGCAAUGGGCGAAAGCCUGACGCAGCGACGCCGCGUGAGGGAUGAAGGUUUUUUCCGGAUCGUAAACCUCUGUCAGAAGGGAAGAAACUGCCGUGCUCUAAUCAUCAUGGCAUUGACGGUACCUUCAAAGGAAGCACCGGCUAACUCCGUGCCAGCCGCAGC
rnacentral:rRNA from 1 species